rnacentral:rRNA from 1 species
GAUGAACGCUGGCGGUGUGCCUAACACAUGCAAGUCGAGCGAACGGACGAGAAGCUCUCUUCUCUGAUGUUAGCGGCGGACGGGUGAGUAACGCGUGGAUCACCUACCUAUAAGACUGGGAUAAUUUCGGGAAACCGGAUCUAAUACCGGAUAAUAUUUUGCACCGCAUGGUUCAAAAGAGAAAGACGGUCUUGCUGUCAUAUAUAGCUGGAUCCGCGCUGCAUUAGCUAGUUGGUAAGGUAACGGCUUACCAAGGCAACGAUGCGUAGCCGACCUGAGAGGGUGAUCGGCCACACUGGAACUGAGACACGGUCCAGACUCCUACGGGAGGCAGCAGUAGGGAAUCUUCCGCAAUGGGCGAAAGCCUGACGGAGCAACGCCGCGUGAGUGAUGAAGGUCUUCGGAUCGUAAAACUCUGUUAUUAGGGAAGAACAUAUGUGUAAGUAACUGUGCACGUCUUGACGGUACCUAAUCAGAAAGCCACGGCUAACUACGUG